GACGAACGCUGGCGGCGUGCUUAACACAUGCAAGUCGAACGGAAAGGCCCUGCUUUUGUGGGGUGCUCGAGUGGCGAACGGGUGAGUAACACGUGAGUAACCUGCCCUUGACUUUGGGAUAACUUCAGGAAACUGGGGCUAAUACCGGAUAGGAGCUCCUGCUGCAUGGUGGGGGUUGGAAAGUUUCGGCGGUUGGGGAUGGACUCGCGGCUUAUCAGCUUGUUGGUGGGGUAGUGGCUUACCAAGGCUUUGACGGGUAGCCGGCCUGAGAGGGUGACCGGCCCCAUGGGAACUGGGGUACGGCCCAGACUCCUACGGGGGGCAGCAGGGGGGAAUUUUGCACAAUGGGCGGAAGCCUGAUGCAGAACCGCCGGGGGGGGGAUGACGGCCUUCGGGUUGUAAACCGCUUCCCCCUGUAACGAAGGGGGGGUGGCGGUAAUGGGUAAAGAAGCACCGGCUAACUCCGU
rnacentral:rRNA from 1 species